rnacentral:rRNA from 1 species
GAGUUUACAACUCCCAAACCCCUGUGAACAUACCAAUUGUUGCCUCGGCGGAUCAGCCCGCUCCCGGUAAAACGGGACGGCCCGCCAGAGGACCCCUAAACUCUGUUUCUAUAUGUAACUUCUGAGUAAAACCAUAAAUAAAUCAAAACUUUCAACAACGGAUCUCUUGGUUCUGGCAUCGAUGAAGAACGCAGCAAAAUGCGAUAAGUAAUGUGAAUUGCAGAAUUCAGUGAAUCAUCGAAUCUUUGAACGCACAUUGCGCCCGCCAGUAUUCUGGCGGGCAUGCCUGUUCGAGCGUCAUUUCAACCCUCAAGCCCAGCUUGGUGUUGGGACUCGCGAGUCAAAUCGCGUUCCCCAAAUUGAUUGGCGGUCACGUCGAGCUUCCAUAGCGUAGUAGUAAAACCCUCGUUACUGGUAAUCGUCGCGGCCACGCCGUUAAACCCCAACUUCUGAAUGUUGACCUCGGAUCAGGUAGGAAUACCCGCUGAACUUAAGCAUAUCAAUAAGCGGAGGAAAAGAAACCAACAGGGAUUGCCCUAGUAACGGCGAGUGAAGCGGCAACAGCUCAAAUUUGAAAUCUGGCUCUCGGGCCCGAGUUGUAAUUUGUAGAGGAUACUUUUGAUGCGGUGCCUUCCGAGUUCCCUGGAACGGGACGCCAUAGAGGGUGAGAGCCCCGUCUGGUUGGAUGCCAAAUCUCUGUAAAGUUCCUUCGACGAGUCGAGUAGUUUGGGAAUGCUGCUCUAAAUGGGAGGUAUAUGUCUUCUAAAGCUAAAUACCGGCCAGAGACCGAUAGCGCACAAGUAGAGUGAUCGAAAGAUGAAAAGCACUUUGAAAAGAGAGUUAAAAAGUACGUGAAAUUGUUGAAAGGGAAGCGUUUAUGACCAGACUUGGGCUUGGUUGAUCAUCUGGGGUUCUCCCCAGUGCACUCUUCCAGUCCAGGCCAGCAUCAGUUUUCGCCGGGGGAUAAAGACUUCGGGAAUGUGGCUCUCUUCGGGGAGUGUUAUAGCCCGUUGUGUAAUACCCUGGCGGGGACUGA